UACGUAGGGGGCAAGCGUUGUCCGGAUUUAUUGGGCGUAAAGAGCGUGUAGGCGGCCAGACAGGUCAGCUGUGAAAACUCGAGGCUCAACCUCGAGACGUCGGUUGAAACCGUCUGGCUAGAGUCCGGAAGAGGAGAGUGGAAUUCCUGGGUGUAGCGGUGAAAUGCGCAGAUAUCAGGAAGAACACCCGUGGCUAAGGCGGCUCUCUAGUACGGUACUGACGCUGAGACGCGAAAGCGUGGGGAGCGAACAGG
rnacentral:rRNA from 1 species